GUAGCUCAAGUUACGGGGCAUGCCUCCCCUUACCAAAGGGGAGCGUAUGAUCCUUCUGCAUAACACUUGCCGAAGCCUUAGCAGCCCGAAAGGGUGCACCCCAACGACUCUAAAGAACAGAGGGUAGCUUAAAUGCUAGUCUAGCUAUCCGUGGGGAUACUGGGCAACACUAUCAAAUUGCGGGAACACCCUAAAGAUCUCAACACCAAGCGUUGCUGGAAACAGCAGCGUGGCCGAGCUAAUAGCCCUG
rnacentral:misc_RNA from 1 species